UGGCGCACGGGUGCGUAACGCGUAACCAACCUACCCACAUCUGGGGGAUAGCCCGCCGAAAGGCGGAUUAAUACCGCAUAAGCUACUUGACCGGCAUCGGUUGGAUAGUAAAGAUUUAUUGGAUGUGGAUGGGGUUGCGUGCCAUUAGCUAGUUGGGGGGUAACGGCCCACCAAGGCGACGAUGGCUAGGGGAGCUGAGAGGCUGGUCCCCCACACGGGCACUGAGAUACGGGCCCG
rnacentral:rRNA from 1 species